rnacentral:rRNA from 1 species
UAAACGGUAGGGUAUUGGCCUACCGUGGCAAUGACGGGUAACGGGGAAUUAGGGUUCGAUUCCGGAGAGGGAGCCUGAGAAACGGCUACCACAUCUAAGGAAGGCAGCAGGCGCGCAAAUUACCCAAUCCUAAUACAGGGAGGUAGUGACAAGAAAUAACAAUACAGGACUUUUUGGUUUUGUAAUUGGAAUGAGUUAAGUAUAAACCCCUUUACAAGUAUCAAUUGGAGGGCAAGUCUGA